GGAACAUUGACUCUUAGGCAUCAUCAUAAACUCUACCACAAAAAGGCUGAAAGGUUGUUGCAUGUUCAUGAGAAGACAAUUGACACAAUGAAGGGGCCAAUUUUUUUGGGAACCAGACAACUUGUACAGGUUGGAAUGCAGUGAGGAAGGUCGGAGGACACAGCACUGCUUUACCUCUCCAGGUGCACAUUCCUCAACUCUGAGAGUCAGAAUUAAAGCCAGUUGAAUCUUAAGACAGGAGUCUUCCCAGCAAAAAGUACUCUCAAAGCUUUGUUACUUACAACUGGCUGAAAAGUGCUCCUGAGAAAGCUGGCCAGAAGCAACAGAUGAAAAAAGGAGAGAAAGAACACACAGCCACCACCCCCGUCAAGAGGUCUCCAACACAAAGCUCAUGGGUGGAUGGUCUCUGUUCAACCACAGCUUGGCCCCCAGGGCAAUGGUGCCACAAGCCAGAUCGCUAAGGCCUCUCAGGAAAAGGGAACACAGAAGUCUGGCAUGCCAGAAAAAGGGUAAGAAUUUCUUACCAGUCAGAUCUCUGGCUUCAC
rnacentral:lncRNA from 1 species